rnacentral:lncRNA from 1 species
CGUGCGAGCAAGUGCAAAGGAGCGCUCUGCCCGAGAAAACAAUCUGGCAAUUAAAUCAGCUACCUAUAAAAACAACACGCUUGGCUUUAGGUCUUUUUCAGAAAGUAGAAAUCCUAGUUCAAGCAGUCCUGGGACUCAGACCUCAAAUAACUUCUUUGGUGAUGGGAGGAGCCAAAAUCAGAUUGGGUUCACAACCCAUACCUGGUCUUCUGUAGGGACAUGCAGUGUGGGCAGCGUCACGCUGAGCCGUGUUUGAAACAUCACCAGAGCCGGUCCCUCAGCAGAGCCUGACGACGAUUCACCAGUAUCCUUAUCUACAGGCAUCAUGUUGCCCGAACUCCUGAAGAAUUUGUACCUAGAGGAAUUCCUGAUGUGAUUGUGUUUAGCCUUGUCUGGGGACUAUUAGAAUUUGGAAACUUUAAACAUCGCUGAAAGGAAAAAGAAAAAAAAAAACAUAAAUAAGGGAUCUAAGAGAACAGCUACCGAACGCCACCAUUGGGGUUUAAAUGCUGGGCUUUAAUGACGUGAAGCAGGUUACUUCUCUCUUCAUGCAACGAAUCUUGAUCCUGUACCUACUCCGUGCAAGGCAUGGGAACAGCUCUAUCUGCGAGGGCUGUUGGUGAAGACUGAACUGCAUAAUAUUUGUAAACUGCUCAGUGUCUGAAGCAUAGCAAUUGUUCAGUAAAUGGUAGCUGUUAUGGUAACAGAAAGAAUCAAGGGUACAUUUCCACAUCUUUGUUAAAAAGCACAAUCCAGUUUUAAAUGGGAAUAAUUGCAGAAUACCUGUAUGCAGAGACAAACCCGCACAAUUCCAAUCUCUAAAAGUAAAGUACAGGUCA